UUUUUUUUUUUUUUUUUUUUUUAAGAUUUAUCUAUUUAUUUCAACGAGAGAGCAUACAAGGAGGGGAAGGACAGAGAAACAGCAAGCAGAUUUCCCCACUGAGCUCGGAGUCUGACUCACAGCUCCCUCCCAGAACCCUGAGAUCAAACAUUAGCUUAAAUCAAGAGUCCGAGGCUCAUAGAACCAAGCCACCCAGGUGCCCCGAGUACAGAACAUUUUAAUCUGACUUUAUUCUUCUCUUCAGAUCACUAUAGGUGUAGUUCUCUCAACUAUGAACAAGGUAACACGCUAUUUUUACUGCAUUUACGCAGAAUUGUGCUACACCCUGCAGAAGCAAUUGUUCUCCCCAUUGUGCUGAAUGAAUGCAAACUGGAAGAAAAUAGAUUGGGGAAAUGUACCAGUUUUUUAAAGUACAUUAGACAGUGAGAUUGACGGAUAUCUUAGUUGUGGUUUUCAAGAACAUGAAGGGUUAAUAUGGCACAUGGUACUAAUAGUUGCUAAUUAUCUCCUUUAAAAAAAAAAAGAAAAUGAGCUUUUAGGACUUAGUGCUUUUAGGGGCACCUAUACAUGCUCCUAAAAGUAUAAACAAAAAAAAAAAAAAGUAUAAACAGCAUGUGAUAUUGUAGCAUUUCCUACCUCCAAAAUACUGUAAGACAGCAACAACUAAAAAGAGAAUACCCAAAUAGCUUACUGUCUAAAAUGGCUUAGAAGUCAUUCUCCCUAAAUAGUGACAAGAAUGCAGGCAGUGUUUUAAGUGCUGAGAUCAACUACAGACAUUAAAAUGACUCUAAAUGUUAUUAUAUUUAGAAUCAGAAAAAAAUGGGGCACCUGGGUGGCUCAGUCGGUUAGACAUCUGCCUUCAGCUAGAGUCAUGAUCUCAGGUCCUGGGAUUGAGCCCCAAGUCUCCCUCUCCCUCUGUCCCUCUCCUGCUUCUGCUCUCCAUCUCUCUCUGUCUUGUGCUCACUCUUUCAAGUACAUAAAUAAAAAUUUUUUUUUAAAAAUCAGAAAAAAAAUUUUAGAAUCAAAUAAAAACCUAUUUUCAUUUUGAACAGAGAAUAAAUGUAUUACUGUGAUAAAAGAAGGAAAGGAAUCCAUAAACAAUCCAUAGAAAUUCAUAUAUGUGGGAGGAGGCACAUUUGAAGUACUGAAAAGAACUUCUAAAAACUAUUUUAGGGAGUUUAGGGCCAAGGAUUAGAAAAGACUCAAUUUUUUUUUUUUACCAAGUCCCAAACAAAAAUUCAUCUCAUAAGAUAGUAAGUGAAAAGUUCAGAACACAAAAGAACAUGUAUCAGUCAGAAAGUUUUUUUCCACAAAGCUUAUUUAUUUUCAAAGGAAUUGAAAAAGAUUUUUUUUUUAAAGUCUAUUGCAGGUUAAAUGCCUUAAAAAACGAUCUGGUCAUUGUUUCCCUUGGGGUGAGUUGUCUCCCUUUCUUUAUUUAUGAUGAAUAACAUACAAUUUCAACUUUUCCUUUCUCAUUUGGGACUGAGAAGCAAUCUUCCUCUAUUUGCUAACAAAAUUAUAAGCAAGCAAAAACUUAUGUGACAUAAUGCUAUAUAAAGAUGUAAGAACUCAGGAGUGUGAAUUAAGACCAUCAUUUUGGGAAACAAUUUGGCAUUAUCUGGAAAGGCUGAAAGAGAACAUUUUCUAUGACACAAAUUCCAGCCCAGGAAAUAUACCCUAAAGAAACACAAAAUAAAUUCAAAUACAGGUAUUAUAAUGAAAUUUAAAAAUCGAAGAAAAGCAAGUUCUGAAAUUAAAAAAUAAUACAAAGGAAUGGCGACUGACUUUCUCAGCAAAAAAAAAGAAACUGGAAGUCAAUGAAGUAAUAACUUCAAAUACUGAAGUAAAAUCAUUGGAAUUGUCAAUCUAGAAUUGUAUGCAGGGUUAAGCUAGCAUACAUUUUUUUAAGAUUUUAUUUUUCAUUUACUUGAGAGAGGGAGAGCAUGUGUGUGCAAGAGAACAACCAGAAAGAGCAUGGGGUGGAGGAGAAUGAAGGGGGGGCCAUGAGCAGCAGUGGGCACCAACGGGGGACGGGGUGGAUAGGUACAGAGAGACAGACUCCUCACUGAGCCAGGAGCCCAAUGCAGGAUUCCAUCUCAGAACCCUGGGAUCAGGACCUGAGCCGAAGGCAGACACUGAACUAACUGACUGAGCCACCCAGGCACCCCAACCUAUCAUUUAAAUAUGAAUGCAAAGAGAUUUUUAUUGAAAGAACUGCUAAAGGAUGUCUUCAAGAAGUCAAAAAUUGAACCCAGAAAGAAGGGGGAGAUGCAAGAACAUAUGGAGAGCCAAGAAAUUGAAUAUAAUUUUCAAACCAGUUGAUACAAAAAAGGGAAUAAAGCAAACAUAAUUACUCCAUAGACUGGCAGGAAAGUUGAGGUGGGAAAGGAGCAUAGGGUAGGUAUAUCGUACAUGGCAAAUAUAACAUGAGGCACAAGAAAUAUAUCAAUCACCUUCUAAAAAAGGUACAUGGUAUAAAUGUGUCAGUUAAAAGGUUAUCAGCUACAUUCUUUUUAACAAGAAAUAAUAACUAAAACUCAAAGGACACCAAAUGUUUGAUAGUAAAAGGAAGGGGAAGAUAUACAAAGCAAUUAACACCCGAAGAAAAGCUGGUAUACCUUAUUCUCAAGCCUUUCCAAUCAUUCCUUUCAAUAUUGCUAUUUCCUAUAUCUAGCUUUUGAUCUCCAGGUAAUCAGUGCUUUCAAAAUACUCCCAGACUUUUCCUUGCCCCACCCUAACCCCGACCUCCUAACUAAUAAUAACAGCUGUAGCAACCCUGUACUAAGUUUUUUUUACAUUAUUUGGUUAAUCUUCAUGACAACCUUAGAUCCUACUGUGUUUAUUUUUACAGAUCGGGAAACUAUGGUUCAAAGAAAUUAAAUAGCUCAUCCAAAUUCAUGCAGCUAGUGAAAAAUGGAAUAGACUUCUUGGGCUCUGGAACUGGGAUGUGAAUGCAAGUCCAUCCAUAUCAGAGCCUGAGUUCUGAACUGAAAUGAUAAACAAUAAGGUAGCCAACAUAACAUGAGAGAGAAGGCUCCAGGUUGGACCCGAAUAACUCUCUUGGUGAACUUGGGCAAGUAAUGCAAUCUCUUGUUCCUCAGUUUUAUCACGUUCUAUCUCUGUAUGGCUGUCCUGCCUCAGUAGCACCCCUUAUCCAAGCCUAUCCUUCAUUCUCCAAUACCUGAAAUGUACCCGUCUUAGAUCUCUAAAGAUGUUUCCAGCUGUCAUUUAGAACAUUUUUAAACAAAUGAAUACGAGAGCAUUAGUCUUCUUAAAGGUAUAUAUCUUGCAGGUUAGCUUCCAAAACCACAAUGCCUUAAAUUAAAAUUAAAUUUUAAAGAUUUUUAUGUAUUAAUUUCAGAGAAAGAACAUGUGAGCAAGAACAAGGGGGGGGGGGGGGGCAGAAGGAGAGGGAGAAGCCGGCUCCUGCCUGAGCAGGAUGCCCAACGCAGGGCUCCAUCCCAGGACCCCAGGUCAUCACGUGAGCCAAAGCCAGGCACUUAACCGACUGAGCCAUCCACGUGCCCUGAAAAUAAAAUUUUUGAUACUACAAUGAAUGAGUGGAAACACUUGGGGGUCAGGAGAAACCUUCCUAGUAUCCCUCAGCUAUGACAUUAGGCAGACUAGUGCUUUUCAAACAUGAUUACACAUAGAAACACCUGGGCAUUUGCUGAAAUACAAAUGCUGACUCAAUAGGUCUCUGGUGGAGCCUGAGACUCCGAAGUUCCAGCCAAGUACCCAGGUAAUGCUGUGAUCUGCAGACCAAACUUGUAAAUUAUCUGUUCCUUUUACAGAUUAAGUCCAUCUCUUUAAUCUAUUGUUUCUUUUCAUGUGUUUCUUUGCUAAAUAGUAAGUUCAAGAAACUGUAAAAUCUGAUUUUUAAUUCCCUCUUUGGUUGACCCAAGAGGGUAUCCCUUACUUUUUUGCAAACUAUGCUAUGCACUUACAAAGAUAUAUUAUAAUGAACUCAACAUAUCUAGGUGUUUUAGGAUUGUCCAAACCUGCAUGAUUUCUUUUCCAGUUAAAAUUAAAAUAACAAUAAAUUACUUUUAAAAAACUAAAACUGUACUUUAAAUGAAUCAGGAAUAAUAUGAGGACAAUAUUGAGAAUUAAGAAUUCUACUUUCUUUUUUCAAACCUAUUUUGAUUCUCAAAAAACUGGCCUAUUGCAAAAAGGUCCAACCUGGCACUACAGACAAAUGCUUUUUGCGAAAGGUUACCAGGAACUACUCAGAAGUAGGAGACAACACAGUAAAUCAUCACACCUAAUUUAUAUUCGAAUUAGAGACUACUAGUUCUUAAACUUUCCAUAGGUUAAGAAAUGUGAAGCAAGGUUGGUGGUCAAAAUAAGCUUGCAUCUUUCAUUUGCUAAAAAUGAUUUUUAAUACUAACUUUUAAAAAUUCAUGAAUUUUUAACUGAAAGUAGCUCACUUUACGUUUACUACUCUACAAAUGAAAAAUGCUUAAAGAUAUCAAUCAUAUCUCAAUAGAUUAUUUUGUUUAUAUAUUUUAUCAUUUUCAAGAAAAUUAGGGAUUGCAAGAUUAAAAUCACGGUUUUGUAGGACUAUUUCUUGUGGAAGUUUAAAGUAUAAUUUUCCUCUGAUUUUCUUUAUGUUAAAUUGGGAAGCAGUUGACUCAAACUCUCCUUCUCUUUACAAUUACUUUUUAAAAAAUCUCCAAAGAGCUUUUAUUUCCUUGCUAUUUAGAAUAUGGUCCAGGGAGUUUGUUAGAACUGAAAUCUCAGUCCCCACCUUAUAACUACUGUGUUAGCAGGGCACCUGGGUGGCUCAGUGGUUGAGAAUCUGCCUUUGGCUCAAGUGGUGAUCCCAGGGGCCUGGAAUCAAGUCCCCCAUCAGGCUCCCCACAGGGAACUUACUUCUCCUUCUGCCUAUGUCUCUGCCUCUUUCACUGUGUCUCUCAUGAAUAAAUAAGUAAAAUGUAAAAAACAAAAAAAACCUACUCUGUUAGAAUCCACAUUAAAAGGCUCAUCAGGCGAUUCAAAUGCAUAUUUAGGCUUUCUUAGAUGAAAACAACAGAACUCAAUGACAAAUUUUUAAAGUUAUAAAAAUAAAA
rnacentral:lncRNA from 1 species